rnacentral:rRNA from 1 species
CCUGCUCAAUAUUUUACAAUAGCCGCUUUACAGUGCUAAGGUAGCAUAAUAAAUUGUCCUCUAAUUAAGGAAUAGAAUGAAUGGGUUUAUGAUCUAAUUACUUUAUUUAUUAUAAUAAUAAAAAUUAUCUCAAAAGUAAAAAGACUUUUAAAAAUUAGUAGGACGACAAGACCCUAUUGAACUUUAACUAAAAGUUUUACUGGGGCGGUAAAAACCUAAAUCUUUAUUUUUUACAAAAUAAAAGCUAAAAAUAGAAAUAAAAUCAAGUUACCAUAGGGAUAACAGCGUAAUAAUUUGCUAAAGCUCUCAUAAAACAUAUUGAUUACGACCUCGAUGUUGAAUUUAACGUAUCAUAUAGAAGAAAACUCCUAUAAUAGUAAGUCUGUUCGACUUUUAAAACGUUACAU